rfam:TPA: Bos taurus chromosome 20, whole genome shotgun sequence.
UGUCUAAGCUAUACCACCCUGAACAUGCCUGAUCUCGUCUCAACUCAGAAGCUAAGCAGGGUCAGGCCUGGUUAGUACUUGGAUGGGACCCCACAUCUUUUCUUCUUCUGGGAAGAGAGAUGAAAUCC